CUAUUAUGUUUAUGAGUCUAAUUCUUUUUUUUUAAAUCAUUGAAUAUACAAAUUGAGGUUUGUGUGCAUCUCCUAAUAGAGGUUGAUGAGAGUUCCUCUAGUUCUCGAGCUAACAACAAAUCUAUUCAGUAUAAAGAUUCAAUCUUUACUCCCUAUUUCAUAUAAAGAUCGAAUCUUUCAACAAGUACAAGUGAGAUUCGGUGUUUUGAGACUUGUUAGUAAUUUUACUAUACACAAACACAUCAUUUGCUUUAUAAUUCUUUUUUUUAGUUGUUGAAUGAUAUAGGGGUCCUAUUAUGUUUAUGAGUCUAAUUCUUUUUUUAAUAUCACUGAAUAUACAAAUUGAGGUUUGUGUGCAUCUCCUAAUAGAGGUUGAUGAGAGUUCCUCUAGUUCUCGAGCUAACAACAAAUUCUAUUCAGUAUAAAGAUUCAAUCUUUAUGCCCUAUUUCAUAUAAAGAUCGAAUCUUUCAACAAGUACAAGUGAGAUUCGGUGUUUUGAGACUUGUUAGUAAUUUUACUAUACACAAACACAUCAUUUGCUUUAUAAUUCUUUUUUUUAGUUGUUGAAUGAUAUAGGGGUCCUAUUAUGUUUAUGAGUCUAAUUCUUUUUUUUUAAAUCAUUGAAUAUACAAAUUGAGGUUUGUGUGCAUCUCCUAAUAGAGGUUGAUGAGAGUUCCUCUAGUUCUCGAGCUAAAACAAAUUCUAUUCAGUAUAAAGAUUCAAUCUUUAUGCCCUAUUUCAUAUAAAGAUCGAAUCUUUCAACAAGUACAAGUGAGAUUCGGUGUUUUGAGACUUGUUAGUAAUUUUACUAUACACAAACACAUCAUUUGCUUUAUAAUUCUUUUUUUUAGUUGUUGAAUGAUAUAGGGUCCUAUUAUGUUUAUGAGUCUAAUUCUUUUUUUUAAAUCAUUGAAUAUACAAAUUGAGGUUUGUGUGCAUCUCCUAAUAGAGGUUGAUGAGAGUUCCUCUAGUUCUCGAGCUAACAACAAUGCCUAUUCAGUAUAAAGAUUCAAUCUUUAUGCCCUAUUUCAUAUAAAGAUCGAAUCUUUCAACAAGUACAAGUGAGAUUCGGUGUUUUGAGACUUGUUAGUAAUUUUACUAUACACAAACACAUCAUUUGCUUUAUAAUUCUUUUUUUUAGUUGUUGAAUGAUAUAGGGGUCCUAUUAUGUUUAUGAGUCUAAUUCUUUUUUUUUUAAAUCAUUGAAUAUACAAAUUGAGGUUUGUGUGCAUCUCCUAAUAGAGGUUGAUGAGAGUUCCUCUAGUUCUCGAGCUAACAACAAAUCCUAUUCAAUCUUUAUGCCCGAUUUUAUAUAGAGAUCGAAUCUUUCAACAAGUACAAGUGAGAUUCGGUGUUUUGAGACUUGUUAGUAAUUUUACUAUACACAAACACAUCAUUUGCUUUAUAAUUCUUUUUUUUAGUUGUUGAAUGAUAUAGGGGUCCUAUUAUGUUUAUGAGUCUAAUUCUUUUUUUUUAAAUCAUUGAAUAUACAAAUUGAGGUUUGUGUGCAUCUCCUAAUAGAGGUUGAUGAGAGUUCCUCUAGUUCUCGAGCUAAAACAAAUUCUAUUCAGUAUAAAGAUUCAAUCUUUAUGCCCUAUUUCAUAUAAAGAUCGAAUCUUUCAACAAGUACAAGUGAGAUUCGGUGUUUUGAGACUUGUUAGUAAUUUUACUAUACACAAACACAUCAUUUGCUUUAUAAUCUUUUUUUUAGUUGUUGAAUGAUAUAGGGGUCCUAUUAUGUUUAUGAGUCUAAUUCUUUUUUUUUAAAUACAUUGAAUAUACAAAUUGAGGUUUGUGUGCAUCUCCUAAUAGAGGUUGAUGAGAGUUCCUCUAGUUCUCGAGCUAACACAAAUUCUAUUCAGUAUAAAGAUUCAAUCUUUAUGCCCUAUUUCAUAUAAAGAUCGAAUCUUUCAACAAGUACAAGUGAGAUUCGGUGUUUUGAGACUUGUUAGUAAUUUUACUAUACACAAACACAUCAUUUGCUUUAUAAUUCUUUUUUUUAGUUGUUGAAUGAUAUAGGGGUCCUAUUAUGUUUAUGAGUCUAAUUCUUUUUUUUUAAAUCAUUGAAUAUACAAAUUGAGGUUUGUGUGCAUCUCCUAAUAGAGGUUGAUGAGAGUUCCUCUAGUUCUCGAGCUAACAACAAAUUCUAUUCAGUAUAAAGAUUCAAUCUUUAUGCCCUAUUUCAUAUAAAGAUCGAAUCUUUCAACAAGUACAAGUGAGAUUCGGGUGUUUUGAGACUUGUUAGUAAUUUUACUAUACACAAACACAUCAUUUGCUUUAUAAUUCUUUUUUUUAGUUGUUGAAUGAUAUAGGGGUCCUAUUAUGUUUAUGAGUCUAAUUCUUUUUUUUAAAAUCAUUGAAUAUACAAAUUGAGGUUUGUGUGCAUCUCCUAAUAGAGGUUGAUGAGAGUUCCUCUAGUUCUCGAGCUAACAACAAAGCCUAUUCAGUAUAAAGAUUCAAUCUUUAUGCCCUAUUUCAUAUAAAGAUCGAAUCUUUCAACAAGUACAAGUGAGAUUCGGGUGUUUUGAGACUUGUUAGUAAUUUUACUAUACACAAACACAUCAUUUGCUUUAUAAUUCUUUUUUUUUAGUUGUUGAAUGAUAUAGGGGUCCUAUUAUGUUUAUGAGUCUAAUUCUUUUUUUUUUAAAUCAUUGAAUAUACAAAUUGAGGUUUGUGUGCAUCUCCUAAUAGAGGUUGAUGAGAGUUCCUCUAGUUCUCGAGCUAACAACAAAGCCUAUUCAGUAUAAAGAUUCAAUCUUUAUGCCCUAUUUCAUAUAAAGAUCGAAUCUUUCAACAAGUACAAGUGAGAUUCGGGUGUUUUGAGACUUGUUAGUAAUUUUACUAUACACAAACACAUCAUUUGCUUUAUAAUUCUUUUUUUUUUUGUUGAAUGAUAUAGGGGUCCUAUUAUGUUUAUGAGUCUAAUUCUUUUUUUUAAAUCAUUGAAUAUACAAAUUGAGGUUUGUGUGCAUCUCCUAAUAGAGGUUGAUGAGAGUUCCUCUAGUUCUCGAGCUAAACAAAUUCUAUUCAGUAUAAAGAUUCAAUCUUUAUGCCCUAUUUCAUAUAAAGAUCGAAUCUUUCAACAAGUACAAGUGAGAUUCGGUGUUUUGAGACUUGUUAGUAAUUUUACUAUACACAAACACAUCAUUUGCUUUAUAAUUCUUUUUUUUAGUUGUUGAAUGAUAUAGGGGUCCUAUUAUGUUUAUGAGUCUAAUUCUUUUUUUAAAAAUCAUUGAAUAUACAAAUUGAGGUUUGUGUGCAUCUCCUAAUAGAGGUUGAUGAGAGUUCCUCUAGUUCUCGAGCUAACAACAAAGCCUAUUCAGUAUAAAGAUUCAAUCUUUAUGCCCUAUUUCAUAUAAAGAUCGAAUCUUUCAACAAGUACAAGUGAGAUUCGGGUGUUUUGAGACUUGUUAGUAAUUUUACUAUACACAAACACAUCAUUUGCUUUAUAAUUCUUUUUUUUAGUUGUUGAAUGAUAUAGGGGUCCUAUUAUGUUUAUGAGUCUAAUUCUUUUUUUUUAAAUCAUUGAAUAUACAAAUUGAGGUUUGUGUGCAUCUCCUAAUAGAGGUUGAUGAGAGUUCCUCUAGUUCUCGAGCUAACAACAAAGCCUAUUCAGUAUAAAGAUUCAAUCUUUAUGCCCUAUUUCAUAUAAAGAUCGAAUCUUUCAACAAGUACAAGUGAGAUUCGGGUGUUUUGAGACUUGUUAGUAAUUUUACUAUACACAAACACAUCAUUUGCUUUAUAAUUCUUUUUUUUAGUUGUUGAAUGAUAUAGGGGUCCUAUUAUGUUUAUGAGUCUAAUUCUUUUUU